AACGAACGCUGGCGGCAUGCCUAACACAUGCCAGUCGAACGAGACCUUCGGGUCUAGUGGCGCACGGGUGCGUAACGCGUGGGAACCUGCCCUUAGGUUCGGAAUAACUCCCCGAAAGGGGUGCUAAUACCGGAUAAUGUCUUCGGACCAAAGAUUUAUCGCCUUUGGAUGGGCCCGCGUUGGAUUAGCUAGUUGGUAGGGUAAAAGCCUACCAAGGCGACGAUCCAUAGCUGGUCUGAGAGGAUGAUCAGCCACACUGGGACUGAGACACGGCCCAGACUACUACGGGAGGCAGCAGUGGGGAAUAUUGGACAAUGGGCGAAAGCCUGAUCCAGCAAUGCCGCGUGAGUGAUGAAGGCCUUAGGGUUGUAAAGCUCUUUUACCCGGGAUGAUAAUGACAGUACCGGGAGAAUAAGCUCCGGCUAACUCCGUG
rnacentral:rRNA from 1 species